rnacentral:rRNA from 1 species
GUUUACAGCCAUGCCACCCUGAACAAGCCUGAUGUCUGAUCUCGGAAGCUCGGCAGGGUCAGGCCUGGUUAGUACUUGGAUGGGAGACCACCUAGGAAGACCAGAUGCUGUAGGCA